CGCACCUUGCGCCCCUUGGUAUUCCGAGGGGCAUGCCUGUUUGAGUGUCAUUAAAUUCUCAACCUUACUAGCUUUUGCGAAGUAAUGGCUUGGACUUGGGGGUCUUUUUGCUGGUUUCGAAAGAGAUCUGCUCCCCUUAAAUGUAUUAGCCGGUGCCCCGCGUGGACCAUCUAUUGGUGUGAUAAUUAUCUACGCCGUUAGAUGUCUGCUAUUAAAUGGGAUGUGCUGCUUCUAAUCGUCCUUCUGGACAAUUAUUGACCAUUUGACCUCAAAUCAGGUAGGACUACCCGCUGAACUUAA
rnacentral:misc_RNA from 1 species